rnacentral:tRNA from 1 species
GGAGAGGUGCCCGGAGCGGUUGAUCGGGGACCAACGAGCAUGCCUCACGGUCGGGCCCCACGGGGCCCACGCAGGUUCGAAUCCUGCCCUCUCCG